rnacentral:piRNA from 1 species
UACUUGUCUUACAGGCAUCCCCAAGC